AGGAUAUAAAACGGGAUCUAUGCCUGCAAAUAUUUGUGCCUAAACCCGUUUGUUAUCCUUG
rnacentral:pre_miRNA from 2 species